UACUGGAUAUUCUUCAUAUGAUAGAUCUUUUCUAGCCCGCAAGGGUUCAAGUUCCACGAUGUGAUUUGGAUCUGGUAAAUAUUUCUUUAACAUAAAAAUAUGAAAAAUAUUAUGUACUCCUGCAAGUGAAGGUGGUAAGGCAAGUCUAUACACCACCUCACCAAUUCUUUCUAAAAUCUCAAACAGACCCACAUAUCUAGGAUUCAAUUUGCCACGAAUGCCAAAUCUUAAGAUUCCUUUUGAAGGAGACACUUUGAGAAAUACAUGGUCACCAAU
rnacentral:lncRNA from 1 species